UAAUACGUAGGGGGCAAGCGUUGUCCGGAUUUACUGGGCUUAAAGGGCGCGUAGGCGGUCGAGUAAGUCGGCGAUGAAAUGUCAGGGCUCAACCUUGGCGCUGUUGACGAUACUGCUGGGCUAGAGUCUUAGCGAGGCGGCUGGAAUGAGCGGUGUAGUGGUGAAAUACGUAGAGAUCGCUCAGAACACCGAUUGCGAAGGCAGGUCGCUGGCUAAGGACUGACGCUGAGGCGCGAAAGCGUGGGGAGCGAACAGGAUUAGAUACCCUGGUAGUCCACGCCCUAAACGAUGGAUACUAGAUGUUUGUCGAGAGCUCGACGAGGGUCUAAGCAAAAGCGAUAAGUAUCCCGCCUGGGGAGUACGCUCGCAAGGGUG
rnacentral:rRNA from 1 species